rnacentral:rRNA from 1 species
GAUGAACGCUGACGGAAUGCUUAACACAUCAGCAAUGGAUUGGUGGCGGACGGGUGAGUAACGCGUAAAGAACUUGCCUCACAGCUAGGGCCAACAUUUGGACACGAAUGCUAAUACCUAAUACUGUGAGAGAGCUUUGCGUCCCAUUAGCUCGUUGGAGAGGUAACGGCUAACCACGGCGAUGAUGGGUAGCCGGACUGAGAGGGUGAUCGGCCACAAGGGGACUGAGGCACGGUCCUUACGCAUACGGGAGGCAGCAGUGGGGAAUAUUGGACAAUGGACCAAAGUCUGAUCCAGCAAUUCUGUGUGCACGAUGAAGUUUUCGGAAUGUAAAGUGCUUUCAGUUGGGAAGCGGUACCAGCAGAAGAAGUGACGGCUAAAUACGUGCCAGCAGCCGCGGUAAUAC